CCACCACUUAAUGGCCCAAAAAUGAUCCUGAAACUGCCAACGUAGCUUUGGGAUCUACACUUUUGCUGGUUCAAAUCAACAUUUUCAACUGUGGAGGAAUUGUUGUUGCUGUGUCCCCUUCGCACAAGAUUGCAGAUGCAGCAUCAGUCCUCACGUUCGUGCGAGCAUGGGCAGCGAUAAAUCGUGAUGAUGGAGCCCUUGGACAGCAAUUGGUGCCGCCGGAGUUUAUUGGAGGGUCUUUGUUGCCGCCUAGAGAGCUAUCCUUGCCGUCCAUCAAGGGAACCUUGGAAAUCCAGAGUCAAAGUUUAGUUACAAGAAGCUUCCCGUCAGUGCAAGCCUGUGAGUUCGAUCAAGCCAACGGUGGUGUCCCAAAUGGUGAGCUUCCG